AGUGAACGCUGGCGGUAGGCCUAACACAUGCAAGUCGAACGGCAGCACAGUAAGAGCUUGCUCUUACGGGUGGCGAGUGGCGGACGGGUGAGGAAUACAUCGGAAUCUACUUUUUCGUGGGGGAUAACGUAGGGAAACUUACGCUAAUACCGCAUACGACCUACGGGUGAAAGCAGGGGAUCUUCGGACCUUUCGCGAUUGAAUGAGCCGAUGUCGGAUUAGCUAGUUGGCGGGGUAAAGGCCCACCAAGGCGACGAUCCGUAGCUGGUCUGAGAGGAUGAUCAGCCACACUGGAACUGAGACACGGUCCAGACUCCUACGGGAGGCAGCAGUAGGGAAUAUUGGACAAUGGGCGCAAGCCUGAUCCAGCCAUACCGCGUGGGUGAAGAAGGCCUUCGGGUUGUAAAGCCCUUUUGUUGGGAAAGAAAAGCAGCAGGUUAAUACCCCGCUGUUCUGACGGUACCCAAAGAAUAAGCACCGGCUAACUUCGUG
rnacentral:rRNA from 1 species